UGGGUUAAUAUGACUUGGUCCUGCCUUGUUUGAAUUCAUUGUUGUUUAUGUUGAGCCUUGCUGAGGAUUGUUUAGUUCACUAUUGUUUCUGUUUAGCCCUGUUCAGGAUUGUAUAGCUCAUAUCAUUGAUUUGGGGUUGGUAUGGCUUGGUCCUGCCUUGCUUUUAUGUCAUUGUCGUUUGUGUUCGGCCUAUUGAAGGUUGUGUGGCUCGUCUCACUGAUUGGGAAGAGUGUUUGGUAUGGGUUCGGUGGAUUGUGUUUCCAGGUUGUUUCAUUCUAGAGGUUAUUUCUUCGAGCCGGCCGUGUUGAUAGGCCCUGUAACAUGGUGGUGUUGUUGGUUGCUUCGCACGGCAUGUUUAUCCUGCGUUCUUCGUGUGUGCCUCUGUUUGAGGCUGUUGCGAGCUACUGUCGACUGCCGUUCCAUUCAUAUGUUCGAGAGGUGGCAUCUGAUGGUUCUCUACUUGGAGGGGUUGAGAUCGAUGUUCUUGUUAGGGAAGAUGUAGUACGGUGCCAAACACAUUUUUUCUGGGGCAGUUCGUUUGACGGCUGCUCCUCUUUAUACGAUCAGGCUGCUUAUCAGGCGGUCCAG